rnacentral:lncRNA from 1 species
AUUAUAACCGCAAUACUGCAUUUAAGCCACCGUUUAAUUCGGGAUUAAGUAAAAAUUUGUUAUUUCAGAAAUAGAGUUAGGUUCAGAAUUAAGGUGAGAUUAGAGUAAUUUUGUAUUUGGUUGAAAAUUAGGUUUAGUCCAGAUAUAGAUAAAAUAGUGUUUGGUUGGAGUAGAUGAGAUAAGAAGGAUAGUGGAUAAAAUAGUGUUUUGUUUAAUUGGAGUAGUAGGGUGGGAUGGGGUCCCAAAUUGGGUGUUUGGGAAUAACUUCGGAGUUAAGGGGUUAUUCCACCCCUUAACCCCGAACCAAACUGGUGCUUAAUUAGAGAUUAGAGAUGUUUGGAUUGUUUGCUGUAUCGAGAAGUAGAAAUAUAAUUUUUGAGACAUAGAAAUAAAAACUUGAUAAUUCAGAUAUUAUAAUUUUAAAUUUUUUUUUUGAGAAAUAGAUAACAUGCUACCCGCUUCAUUUAUUUUAUUUAGAAUUAAACUUAGCUGAAAAUAUGAAUCAAUUAAGAUUCAAACUUGAGACCUCAAAUACCAACCACCAAACUCUUUGUCACUUGCAUUAGGGACGGUCGGUUAUAAUUACAAAAAAGUUAUUGAGAAGAAUUAAAUAUAUAUGAGUA